AGCAGCCGCGGUAAUUCCAGCUCCAAUAGCGUAUAUUAAAGUUGUUGCAGUUAAAAAGCUUGUAGUUGAAUUUCGGGGUUAGCAGGUCGGUCGUGCCAUCGGUAUGAACUGGUCUCGCUGAUCCCUCCCUCUUGACGAACUGUGAUGCCAUUAAUUUGGUGUCGCAGGGAAUCAGGACUGUUACUUUGAAAAACUUAGAGUGUUUAAAGCAGGCUCACGCUUGAAUACAUUAGCAUGGAAUAAUGAAAUAGGACGUUUGAUCCUAUUUUGUUGGCUUCUAGGAUUGACGUAAUGAUUAAUAGGGAUAGUUGGGGGCAUUAGUAUUCAAUUGUCAGAGGUGAAAUUCUUGGAUUUAUUGAAGACUAACUACUGCGAAAGCAUUUGCCAAGGAUGUUUUCAUUAAUCAAGAACGAAAGUUAGGGGAUCGAAGACGAUCAGAUACCGUCGUAGUCUUAACCAUAAACCUAUGCCGACUAGGGAUCGGAUGAUGUUAAUUUUUAAUGUACUUCUACG
rnacentral:misc_RNA from 1 species